GAAGGUAUAACUCAGUUGGUUAGAGUGCGAUACUUUUAAUAUCGACGUCGUAGGUUCGAGUCCUACUAUCUUUA
rfam:Pseudozyma hubeiensis SY62 DNA, scaffold: PHS2.